AAGGAUUCGUGCCUGAACGCCAAAGGGCUACUUUGAUGAGGUAGAAAGUGGAGGUUUAAAUCCUCCCGAAUCCU
rnacentral:tRNA from 1 species